rnacentral:rRNA from 1 species
AUUGAACGCUGGCGGUAUGCCUUACACAUGCAAGUCGAACGGUAACAGGUCUUCGGAUGCUGACGAGUGGCGAACGGGUGAGUAAUACAUCGGAACGUGCCUAGUAGUGGGGGAUAACUACUCGAAAGAGUGGCUAAUACCGCAUGAGAUCUACGGAUGAAAGAAGGGGAUCGCAAGACCUUGUGCUACUAGAGCGGCCGAUGGCAGAUUAGGUAGGUGGUGGGAUAAAAGCUUACCAAGCCGACGAUCUGUAGCUGGUCUGAGAGGACGAUCAGCCACACUGGGACUGAGACACGGCCCAGACUCCUACGGGAGGCAGCAGUGGGGAAUUUUGGACAAUGGGCGCAAGCCUGAUCCAGCAAUGCCGCGUGCAGGAUGAAGGCCUUCGGGUUGUAAACUGCUUUUGUACGGAACGAAAAGCCCUGGGUUAAUACCCUGGGGUCAUGACGGUACCGUAAGAAUAAGCACCGGCUAACUACGUGCCAGCCGCCGCGGUAAAAC